rnacentral:misc_RNA from 1 species
CCGAGUUUACAACUCCCAAACCCCUGUGAACAUACCACUUACGUUGCCUCGGCGGAUCAGCCCGCGCCCGUAAAACGGGACGGCCCGCCAGAGGACCCCUAAACUCUGUUUCUAUAGUGGAACUUCUGAGUAAAACCAUAAAUAAAUCA